GAUGAACGCUGGCGGCGUGCCUAAUACAUGCAAGUCGAGCGAACAGAUGAGGAGCUUGCUCCUCUGACGUUAGCGGCGGACGGGUGAGUAACACGUGGAUAACCUACCUAUAAGACUGGGAUAACUUCGGGAAACGGGAGCUAAUACCGGAUAAUAUAUUGAAGCGCAUGGUUCAAUAGUGAAAGACGGUUUUGCUGUCACUUAUAGAUGGAUCCGCGCCGCAUUAGCUAGUUGGUAAGGUAACGGCUUACCAAGGCAACGAUGCGUAGCCGAGCUGAGAGGGGGAUCGGCCACACUGGAGCUGAGACGCGGUCCAGACGCCUACGGGAGGGAGCAGUAGGGAAUGUUCCGCAAUGGGCGAAAGCCUGACGGAGCAACGCCGCGUGAGUGAUGAAGGUCUUCGGAUCGUAAAACUCUGUUAUUAGGGAAGAACAAAUGUGUAAGUAACCAUGCACGUCUUGACGGUACCUAAUCAGAAAGCCACGGCUAACUACGUG
rnacentral:rRNA from 1 species